GCCUACUUGGCUCAGGGGUAGAGCGUUGCUCUCGUAGGGAUUCGCCCAGAAUGGGUGGAUGAGUGCAAAGCAAAGGUCGUCAGUUCGAAUCUGGCAGUGGGCA
rnacentral:tRNA from 4 species